AACGAACGCUGGCGGCAUGCCUAACACAUGCAAGUCGAACGAGACCUUCGGGUCUAGUGGCGCACGGGUGCGUAACGCGUGGGAACCUGCCCUUAGGUUCGGAAUAACUCCCCGAAGGGGGUGCUAAUACCGGAUAAUGUCUUCGGCCCAAAGAUUUAUCGCCUUUGGAUGGGCCCGCGUUGGAUUAGCUAGUUGGUAGGGUAAAAGCCUACCAAGGCGACGAUCCAUAGCUGGUCUGAGAGGAUGAUCAGCCACACUGGGACUGAGACACGGCCCAGACUCCUACGGGAGGCAGCAGUGGGGAAUAUUGGACAAUGGGCGAAAGCCUGAUCCAGCAAUGCCGCGUGAGUGAUGAAGGCCUUAGGGUUGUAAAGCUCUUUUACCCGGGAUGAUAAUGACAGUACCGGGAGAAUAAGCUCCGGCUAACUCCGUG
rnacentral:rRNA from 1 species